CUUCAGUAAAAAAUCAAAUACCCAGAGAGUGGUUUGGAAUUAGAAGAAAUUCAGCUUGUUCAAAUCUGAAAUGGAAGAGGUCCCCUGAGGUUCCUGAACUUUCCAGGAAGUGACCUUCCUUACUCACCUGGAACAUUAGCUGUGAGCUAACAUCUGCCGCCAAACCUCCUCUUUUUGCUGAGGAAGACUGGCCCUGAGCUAACAUCCGUACCCAUCUUCAUCUACUUUAUAUGUGGGACGCCUGCCACAGCAUGGCUUGCCAAGUGGUGCCAUGUCCACACCUGGGAUCUGAACUGGUGAA
rnacentral:lncRNA from 1 species